rnacentral:tRNA from 1 species
AAGGAUUUAAGUUAGUUAAACUUAUAGCCUUCAAAGCUUUACACAAAGAAAUAUAAGCCUUUAAGCCUUA